rnacentral:tRNA from 1 species
ACCCGGCUAGCUCAGCGGUAGAGCGCCUCGUUCACACCGAGGAGGCCGGCGGUUCGAAACCGUCGCCGGGUA